CGGGGCGUAGCGCAGUCUGGCUAGCGCACCUGCUUUGGGAGCAGGGGGUCGGAGGUUCGAAUCCUCUCGCCCCGA
rnacentral:tRNA from 3 species